UCCUUGAUCAAGUUACGGAGACCGGUGG
rnacentral:sRNA from 1 species